UACGUAGGGUGCGAGCGUUGUCCGGAAUUAUUGGGCGUAAAGAGCUUGUAGGCGGUUUGUCGCGUCUGCCGUGAAAUUUCGAGGCUCAACCUCGAACUUGCGGUGGGUACGGGCAGACUAGAGUGUGGUAGGGGAGACUGGAAUUCCUGGUGUAGCGGUGAAAUGCGCAGAUAUCAGGAGGAACACCGAUGGCGAAGGCAGGGUCUCUGGGCCACUACUGACGCUGAGAAGCGAAAGCAUGGGGAGCGAACAGG
rnacentral:rRNA from 1 species